rnacentral:lncRNA from 1 species
UGGAUGUACAUGAGCCAACUAAUCCAGCAUCUAAAGAAGUGUACAAGAAGAGACACUGUCUCAACCAAGACUGAAGCUGCUGAUGGGUGGAACCUCUCAGAGGAUGUGGGGCCGUGAAAGGCAGCCCAUUUUGAUUGAAUGAGGCUCGCUCCAGCUACCCAGUAGAAAACUCUACAAGGGACAGAACAGCAAGCCACUUUCCCAGAGACAGGUGCCUGACAUCACAGAGCCCCCAACCUCAUAAUUCUGUGACUAUAAGUCACAAAGACAAUGUCCUAAGCUCCUGGCAUUCUGGCUAGACUCCACCCCAGAAACAUUCUGGAAGAGGAGUAUGGAUUCAAAGACCAAGACACACCAGAUCACCUAAGCAAUCUAGGUCUCCAAAUUGGGAGAAAAAAGUCAAGAACUGGCUCUUACUGCAGUAUGUGGACAAUGACAAUUACUGAUAGUUGCAACCAAGCCAGAGGUCCGUGAACAAGAAUCAGAAUUACUUGGCAGUCUUAUUAAAGCAUGGGUUAUCAGGUCUGCAAUAAGUAACAUGUGGAACAGAACGAUGUGAAAAGAGUGUCUUAUGGUUGGGGAGUCAAUGAAUUUAAACUUGUAGAUCAGCGAAGCAGUUAAGACUGAAGCUGUGACUGUUAGAGGAAGAGGUCCACUUCUAUUGAGAGUGUUGAUAAGACAGCUGGAAGC